GAGUUUGAUCCUGGCUCAGGAUGAACGCCAGCGGCAGGCCUAAUACAUGCAAGUCGAGGGAGAUUGUUGGAUUCGUCUGACAUGAAACCGGCGCACGGGUGCGUAACACGUAUGCAACCUACCUUUAACUGGGGUAUAGCUCAGAGAAAUCUGAAUUAAUCCCCCAUAAGACUACGACAUGGCAUCAUGAUGUAGUUAAAGCUCCGGCGGUUAAGGAUGGGCAUGCGGUACAUUAGCUAGUUGGUGAGGUAAUGGCUCACCAAGGCUACGAUGUAUAGGGGGUCUGAGAGGAUGAUCCCCCACACUGGUACUGAGACACGGACCAGACUCCUACGGGAGGCAGCAGUAGGGAAUAUUGGUCAAUGGACGCAAGUCUGAACCAGCCAUGCCGCGUGAAGGAUGAAGGCCCUCUGGGUCGUAAACUUCUUUUAUUAGGGAAGAAAACAUGGGAUGCGUCCCAAACUGACGGUACUUAAUGAAUAAGGAUCGGCUAACUUCGUGCCAGCAGCCGCGGUAAGACGAAGGAUCCAAGCGUUGUCCGGAUUUACUGGGUUUAAAGGGUGCGUAGGCGGAAAAUUAAGUCAGUGGUGAAAGCCCGCAGCUCAACUGUGGAACUGCCAUUGAAACUGAUUUUCUUGAAUAUAGCUGAGGCAGAUGGAAUAUAACAUGUAGCGGUGAAAUGCUUAGAUAUGUUAUAGAACACCGAUUGCGAAGGCAGUCUGCUAAACUAUUAUUGACGCUGAGGCACGAAAGCGUGGGGAGCGAACAGGAUUAGAUACCCUGGUAGUCCACGCCCUAAACGUUGAUUACUCGCUGUUGGCGAUAUACUGUCAGUG
rnacentral:rRNA from 1 species